GCACAAAGUGUUCCCAAACAAUGUGAGACACACGCCAAAUUGGAGUCCAGCCAGGCUCCAGCUACAGCGCUGAAUUCCUGCUUGCCGCCCAUGGGCACACACAAAAGGCAGGCCCAGGUUACCACAGCCUCCCAGGUAAAGACCAAAGCUGCAAUUUGUCAUCAUUAAGCGAACGGGCCAUUCUUUUUCCUUCUGUGCUCUAAUCAGUGGCAAUGAAACUGGACUGGAAAAAAAAGCGGGGCAAAGAACCACUCCAAAUUCUGGACUCAGAAGUCCGAUUAUUCAAUGAAGUGGAAAAAAUGGGAAUGAGCAGUCUGCCUCAUGGAGUAUCACACAAUAUCCUGAUGUGAUGCUGGGAGUGUGGCAGUCUUAUGGUUAUCAAGACAAUGGAUGCCUUGCACUAUUGAUAGCAGAUCAGUUUGGCCUACAACUCUGAUGAGAUCUUGAGCAGCUGUCUCAGUCAUCAGUCUCUGAUUGUGAACAUCUUGACUCUUGAAGGAAACAACUCCUAUCUAAUGUACUCAUUGCUAGUUGUUGCUAUUGUGCUACUUUCUGCCAAUAUAAUUGUGAACAAUAUGCUUCCCCUCAUUCAGAAAUCAGUAACAUCUGCCUUCCUCUUCACAGUGAGAUGAAUAUCAGACAUUCACAAAUUUCUUAAGUCCAAAGGACUAACUGAUGAUCAGUAAUUUCUUCAUGAUGCCUCAGACCAAAGAAACACUUAGGAGUUCUGUUUAUUGGUUAGAUUCAAAUAAUUUAACAGCUGUAAUUUAUGUGGUAUCUGUGUUUAUUCAAAUAUGUAAAAUAUUUCAAUACAGCCAUGCAAAUGGGCUGUAGUGUCUCAGUGCACAUAGGUACAAAAUUUGGGAGUCAUGUUCUGUUCAGCUUUCCUAGAAGGGAGAAGUGAAUUGGAACUUUCUAAGAUUGAUUGCCUAGUAUGGGGCAGGUGGGGUCAGCUGCAAAGGAGCACAAGAAACACUUUAGGUUGAAGAAGUAAAGAAUAUCCUGAUUAUGGGGUUGCUUAUACAAUUUUUUAGAAAUAAUACAUUUUAAAUAUUGUGCUCAUAAAUUAUUGAAACUUAGACUAUGUUAAUGAACUAAUGGUACUAGUUAAACAGGAUUAAUUGCUGAAAAAGAUGGCAGGACCCAAAAUGACAAUGUGUAGAAAUCUAACAUUUAUUGAAAGGAAAGGGUGAAGUGGAGAAACAGUAUUAAAGUAUUGGUGUGCCUCAUAGCCAAAGACCUCAAACUUGAGAAUCCAGGCAAGAGCACUGACUGUGUGUAAGGGCUGUGUAAGUGCUUCCUUUCUUGGAUCAGAAACUAUCGAUGUGUGAACAGAACAUCUUGGAACCAUAGAGUCUAUACUGGAGUCUUGACUGAUACAAAUCAUCAGUCUCACUGCUGUUGAUUAAAUAAUGUCGAUAAACUA